AUUGAACGCUGGCGGCAGGCCUAACACAUGCAAGUCGAGCGGAUGAAGGGAGCUUGCUCCUGGAUUCAGCGGCGGACGGGUGAGUAAUGCCUAGGAAUCUGCCUGGUAGUGGGGGAUAACGUCCGGAAACGGGCGCUAAUACCGCAUACGUCCUGAGGGAGAAAGUGGGGGAUCUUCGGACCUUCCGCUAUCAGAUGAGCCUAGGUCGGAUUAGCUAGUUGGUGGGGUAAAGGCCUACCAAGGCGACGAUCCGUAACUGGUCUGAGAGGAUGAUCAGUCACACUGGAACUGAGACACGGUCCAGACUCCUACGGGAGGCAGCAGUGGGGAAUAUUGGACAAUGGGCGCAAGCCUGAUCCAGCCAUGCCGCGUGUGUGAAGAAGGUCUUCGGGUUGUAAAGCACUUUAGGUUGGGAGGAAGGGCAGUAAGUUAAUACCUUGCUGUUUUGACGUUACCAACAGAAUAAGCACCGGCUAGCUUCGUG
rnacentral:rRNA from 1 species